rnacentral:tRNA from 1 species
GUGUGCAUAGCUCAGUGGUUGGAGACUUCCUCUGGAUUGAGGUGGUCAUGGUUUUGGAUCCCAUUGCACACA